rnacentral:rRNA from 1 species
GGUCACUGCUAUUGGGAUUCGACUAAGCCAUGCGAGUCGAGAGGGUUCGGCCCUCGGCAGACGGCUCAGUAACACGUGGAUAAUCUGCCCUUAGGUGGAGGAUAACCUCGGGAAACUGAGAAUAAUACUCCAUAGAUCUAGGAUGCUGGAAUGCAUCUAGGUUGAAAGUUCCGGCGCCUAAGGAUGAGUCUGCGGACUAUCAGGCUGUAGUCAGGGUAAAGACCUGACUAACCUACGACGGAUACGGGUUGUGAGAGCAAUAACCCGGAGACGAUAUCUGAGACACGAUAUCGGGCCCUACGGGGCGCAGCAGGCGCGAAACCUUCACACUGUGCGAAAGCACGAUGAGGGGAUCCCAAGUGCUUGCACGUAAGUGUAAGCUGUUUCUGUGUCUAAAAAGCAUAGAGAGUAAGGGCUGGGUAAGACGGGUGCCAGCCGCCGCGGUAAUACCUGCAGCUCAAGUGGUGACCGCUAUUAUUGGGCCUAAAACGUUCGUAGCCGGUUUAGUAAAUGCCUGGGUAAAUCGUGUAGCUUAACUAUACGACUUCCGGGUAGACUGCUAAACUUGAGACCGGGAGAGGCUAGAGGUACUCCUGGGGUAGAGGUGAAAUUCUGUAAUCCUAGGGGGACCACCAGUGGCGAAGGCGUCUAGCUAGAACGGGUCUGACGGUGAGGGACGAAGCCCUGGGGCGCAAACCGGAUUAGAUACCCGGGUAGUCCAGGGUGUAAACGCUGCUUGCUUGAUGUUAGUCGGGCUCUGAGCCCGAUUAGUGUCGGAGAGAAGUUGUUAAGCAAGCUGCCUGGGAAGUACGGUCGCAAGGCUGAAACUUAA